rnacentral:rRNA from 1 species
ACACAUGCAAGUCGAGGGGCAGCAUCACCAAAGCUUGCUUUGAUGGAUGGCGACCGGCGCACGGGUGAGUAACACGUAUCCAACCUGCCGACAACACUGGGAUAGCCUUUCGAAAGAAAGAUUAAUACCGGAUGGUAUAGUUUUCCCGCAUGGGGUGACUAUUAAAGAAUUUCGGUUGUCGAUGGGGAUGCGUUCCAUUAGGCAGUUGGCGGGGUAACGGCCCACCAAACCAACGAUGGAUAGGGGUUCUGAGAGGAAGGUCCCCCACAUUGGAACUGAGACACGGUCCAAACUCCUACGGGAGGCAGCAGUGAGGAAUAUUGGUCAAUGGACGAGAGUCUGAACCAGCCAAGUAGCGUGAAGGAUGACUGCCCUAUGGGUUGUAAACUUCUUUUAUACGGGAAUAAAGUGAGCCACGUGUGGCUUUUUGUAUGUACCGUAUGAAUAAGGAUCGGCUAACUCCGUGCCAGCAGCCGCGGUAAUACGGAGGAUCCGAGCGUUAUCCGGAUUUAUUGGGUUUAAAGGGAGCGUAGGCGGGUUGUUAAGUCAGUUGUGAAAGUUUGCGGCUCAACCGUAAAAUUGCAGUUGAUACUGGCGACCUUGAGUGCAACAGAGGUAGGCGGAAUUCGUGGUGUAGCGGUGAAAUGCUUAGAUAUCACGAAGAACUCCGAUUGCGAAGGCAGCUUACUGGAUUGUAACUGACGCUGAUGCUCGAAAGUGUGGGUAUCAAACAGGAUUAGAUACCCUGGUAGUCCACACAGUAAACGAUGAAUACUCGCUGUUGGCGAUAUACAGUCAGCGGCCAAGCGAAAGCAUUAAGUAUUCCACCUGGGGAGUACGCCGG